ACGGGCGGCGUGCUUACCAUGCAAGUCGAACGAUGAAGCCCAGCUUGCUGGGUGGAUUAGUGGCGAACGGGUGAGUAACACGUGAGUAACCUGCCCUUGACUCUGGGAUAAGCCUGGGAAACUGGGUCUAAUACCGGAUAGGAACGUCCACCGCAUGGUGGUUGUUGGAAAGAUUUAUCGGUCAUGGAUGGACUCGCGGCCUAUCAGCUUGUUGGUGAGGUAAUGGCUCACCAAGGCGACGACGGGUAGCCGGCCUGAGAGGGUGACCGGCCACACUGGGACUGAGACACGGCCCAGACUCCUACGGGAGGCAGCAGUGGGGAAUAUUGCACAAUGGGCGAAAGCCUGAUGCAGCGACGCCGCGUGAGGGAUGACGGCCUUCGGGUUGUAAACCUCUUUCAGUAGGGAAGAAGCGAAAGUGACGGUACCUGCAGAAGAAGCACCGGCUAACUACGUGCCAGCAGCCGCGGUAAUACGUAGGGUGCGAGCGUUAUCCGGAAUUAUUGGGCGUAAAGAGCUCGUAGGCGGUUUGUCGCGUCUGUCGUGAAAGUCCGGGGCUUAACCCCGGAUCUGCGGUGGGUACGGGCAGACUAGAGUGCAGUAGGGGAGACUGGAAUUCCUGGUGUAGCGGUGGAAUGCGCAGAUAUCAGGAGGAACACCGAUGGCGAAGGCAGGUCUCUGGGCUGUAACUGACGCUGAGGAGCGAAAGCAUGGGGAGCGAACAGGAUUAGAUACCCUGGUAGUCCAUGCCGUAAACGUUGGGCACUAGGUGUGGGGACCAUUCCACGGUUUCCGCGCCGCAGCUAACGCAUUAAGUGCCCCGCCUGGGGAGUACGGCCGCAAGGCUAAAACUCAAAGGAAUUGACGGGGGCCCGCACAAGCGGCGGAGCAUGCGGAUUAAUUCGAUGCAACGCGAAGAACCUUACCAAGGCUUGACAUGUUCUCGAUCGCCGUAAAGAUCCGGUUCCCCUUUGGGCGGGAUCCAGGUGGUGAUGGUUG
rnacentral:rRNA from 1 species